rnacentral:rRNA from 1 species
AAAAACAUAGGUGCGUGCGAAGCCGUAAGGCGAGGUAUACGCACUGACGCCUGCCCGGUGCCGGAAGGUUAAGAGGAGCUGUCAGCCUUUUUGGCGAAGCGGUGAAUUUAAGCCCCGGUAAACGGCGGUGGUAACUAUAACCAUCCUAAGGUAGCGAAAUUCCUUGUCGGGUAAGUUCCGACCUGCACGAAUGGCGUAACGACUUCUGUGCUGUCUUGACCGCGAACUCGGCGAAAUUGCAUUACGAGUAAAGAUGCUCGUUACGCGCAGCAGGACGGAAAGACCCCGGGACCUUUACUAUAGCUUGGUAUUGGUGGCUGGUUGUGUUUGUGUAGGAUAGGUGGGAGACGUUGAAGCAGCCACGCUAGUGGUUGUGGAGUCGGCAAGUGAAAUACCACUCUGAUGUUGCUGGUUAUCUGAACCUGGGCCCAUUAUCUGGGUUAGGGAC